CGGGAGCUUGUUCCCUUAGGUCAGCGGCGGACGGGUGAGUAACACGUGGGUAGAGGUGCCUGUAAGACUGGGAUAACUCCGGGAAACCGGGGCUAAUACCGGAUGCUUGAUUGAACCGCAUGGUUCAAUCAUAAAAGGUGGCUUUUAGCUACCACUUACAGAUGGACCCGCGGCGCAUUAGCUAGUUGGUGAGGUAACGGCUCACCAAGGCGACGAUGCGUAGCCGACCUGAGAGGGUGAUCGGCCACACUGGGACUGAGACACGGCCCAGACUCCUACGGGAGGCAGCAGUAGGGAAUCUUCCGCAAUGGACGAAAGUCUGACGGAGCAACGCCGCGUGAGUGAUGAAGGUUUUCGGAUCGUAAAACUCUGUUGUUAGGGAAGAACAAGUACCGUUCGAAUAGGGCGGCACCUUGACGGUACCUAACCAGAAAGCCACGGCUAACUACGUGCCAGCAGCCGCGGUAAUACGUAGGUGGCAAGCGUUGUCCGGAAUUAUUGGGCGUAAAGCGCGCGCAGGCGGUUUCUUAAGUCUGAUGUGAAAGCCCCCGGCUCAACCGGGGAGGGUCAUUGGAAACUGGGGAACUUGAGUGCAGAAGAGGAGAGUGGAAUUCCACGUGUAGCGGUGAAAUGCGUAGAGAUGUGGAGGAACACCAGUGGCGAAAGCGACUCUCUGGUCUGUAACUGACGCUGAGGCGCGAAAGCGUGGGGAGCGAACAGGAUUAGAUACCCUGGUAGUCCACGCCGUAAACGAUGAGUGCUAAGUGUUAGAGGGUUUCCGCCCUUUAGUGCUGCAGCAAACGCAUUAAGCACUCC
rnacentral:rRNA from 1 species